rnacentral:rRNA from 1 species
AUUGAACGCUGGCGGCAUGCCUUACACAUGCAAGUCGAACGGCAGCGCGUCCUUCGGGAUGGCGGCGAGUGGCGAACGGGUGAGUAAAGCAUCGGAACGUGCCCGGUAGUGCGGGAUAGCUCGGCGAAAGCCGGAUUAAUACCGCAUGAGAUCUGCGGAUGAAAGCAGGGGACCCGAAAGGGCCUUGCGCUACUGGAGCGGCCGAUGUCAGAUUAGGUAGUUGGUGAGGUAAAGGCUCACCAAGCCUGCGAUCUGUAGCCGGCCUGAGAGGGUGUACGGCCACACUGGAACUGAGACACGGUCCAGACUCCUACGGGAGGCAGCAGUGGGGAAUAUUGCGCAAUGGGGGAAACCCUGACGCAGCGACGCCGCGUGAGCGAAGAAGGCCUUGGGUGUAAAGCUCUGUUCUAAGGGACGAAGGACUUGGCUGUGAAUAAUGGUCAAGGGUGACGGUACCUUAGGAGAAGCCCCGGCUAACUACGUGCCAGCACGG